rnacentral:lncRNA from 1 species
UAAAGAACUCAGGAAUUAUGAAUUAAAAAACUUGGAGAACGAUGAAGAACGAACCAGUUGCUACAAAAGUACAAUGUUGAGGAAGAUCUGAUAGAUCCGGCUCCUCCUCCGCUCCCCUCUUCUCUCUCCCUAUUUUCUAGAUUACAACUAGAACUAACUAGAACUAGAACUAGAUGAACUAGAACUAGAACUAGAUGAACUAGAGGGAUCCUCUCUACUUGGAUGAAUAAUUGAAACCCUAGCUUUGAU